rnacentral:rRNA from 1 species
UACGUAGGGUGCAAGCGUUAAUCGGAAUUACUGGGCGUAAAGAGCUCGUAGGCGGUUUUGUAAGUCUGACGUGAAAUCCCCGGGCUCAACCUGGGAAUUGCGUUGGAGACUGCAAGGCUAGAAUCUGGCAGAGGGGGGUAGAAUUCCACGUGUAGCAGUGAAAUGCGUAGAGAUGUGGAGGAACACCGAUGGCGAAGGCAGCCCCCUGGGUCAAGAUUGACGCUCAUGCACGAAAGCGUGGGGAGCAAACAGG